ensembl:lncRNA MUC20-OT1 MUC20 overlapping transcript
CUGUCUUGGGACGGAUCACCGCUGCAAGAGGGGAAGUUGCUACUGUGAUGAAUUCUGCCAUGUGGCACCAGACUGCCACCCAGACCACAGUGUCCUCUGCAACCCUGCUUCUCAGAUGACCAAGAUGGUGCUGCAGAUGGUGCUGAGGAUGGAGAACCCACCAAGCCCCGCUAGGAGCCACCUAGACUGGAUGCAGAGCAUGAAGGAAGGCAAGAUUUCCUGGGUCCGUGAUGAUGGAAGGCUGACAACUCUUUUAUGGAGUUUGAGCUUGCUCCCAGCAGGGAAGACAAGUUCGAGUUUUUUUCCUGCUUCAAGGAUGGUAGAGAGCAGUCUUCAGCCUGAGACCCAUCCCUAGGCCCCAGCACCCGCAGAGCAGACACUGCGAUGACAACGGACGACACAGAAGUGCCCGCUAUGACUCUAGCACCGGGCCACGCCGCUCUGGAAACUCAAACGCUGAGCGCUGAGACCUCUUCUAGGGCCUCAACCCCAGCCGGCCCCAUUCCAGAAGCAGAGACCAGGGGAGCCAAGAGAAUUUCCCCUGCAAGAGAGACCAGGAGUUUCACAAAAACAUCUCCCAACUUCAUGGUGCUGAUCGCCACCUCCGUGGAGACAUCAGCCGCCAGUGGCAGCCCCGAGGGAGCUGGAAUGACCACAGUUCAGACCAUCACAGGCAGUGAUCCCGAGGAAGCCAUCUU